rnacentral:rRNA from 1 species
GGAGGAAAAGAAACCAACAGGGAUUGCCUUAGUAGCGGCGAGUGAAGCGGCAAAAGCUCAAAUUUGAAAUCUGGCUCUUUCAGAGUCCGAGUUGUAAUUUGAAGAAGGUAUCUUUGGGUCUGGCUCUUGUCUAUGUUUCUUGGAACAGAACGUCACAGAGGGUGAGAAUCCCGUGCGAUGAGAUGAUCCAGGCCUAUGUAAAGUUCCUUCGAAGAGUCGAGUUGUUUGGGAAUGCAGCUCUAAGUGGGUGGUAAAUUCCAUCUAAAGCUAAAUAUUGGCGAGAGACCGAUAGCGAACAAGUACAGUGAUGGAAAGAUGAAAAGAACUUUGAAAAGAGAGUGAAAAAGUACGUGAAAUUGUUGAAAGGGAAGGGCUUGAGAUCAGACUUGGUAUUUUGUAUGUUACUUCUUCGGGGGUGGCCUCUACAGUUUAUCGGGCCAGCAUCAGUUUGGGCGGUAGGAGAAUUGCGUUGGAAUGUGGCACGGCUUCGGUUGUGUGUUAUAGCCUUCGUCGAUACUGCCAGCCUAGACUGAGGACUGCG